GACGUAGGGUCCGAGCGUUGUCCGGAGUUACUGGGCGUAAAGCGCGUGUAGGCGGUUGUUCAAGUCAGGUGUGAAAGCCUUGAGCUCAACUCAAGAAAUGCACUUGAUACUGGAUGACUAGAGGACCGGAGAGGAUAGUGGAAUUCCCAGUGUAGUGGUGAAAUACGUAGAGAUUGGGAAGAACACCAGUGGCGAAGGCGGCUAUCUGGACGGUUUCUGACGCUAAGACGCGAAAGCGUGGGGAGCAAACAGG
rnacentral:rRNA from 1 species